NNNNNNNUUUUUCCUGGUUCUCCCUGGUUUUCCCUCAUUUUCCCCUGAUUUUCCCUGGUUUUUAUCUAGUUUUUCCCUGGUUUUUUUCCUGGUUCUCUCAGGUUUUUCCCUGAUUUUUCCCUGGGUUUUCCCCUGGUCUCCAUGAGGAGCCUCCCUGGGAUCACAGGGAUGGGAGCAGGCAGCUCCCAAAUCCCAGCUCCCAAAUCCCAGCUCCCAAAUCCCAGCUUCCAAAUCCUCCUUUUCCAUUGUCCAGCUCCCAAAUCCUUGUUCCAUAUCCCAGCUCCCAAAUCCCCUGUCCCAUCCCAAAUUCCCAUUCCACAUCCCAGCUCCCAGAUCCUCUCUGCUCCAUCUCUCUGCUCCCACAUCCCAGCUCCCAAAUCCCCUCCCCUCCAAUCCCAACUCCCAAAUCCCCAUUCCACAUCCCAGCUCCCAAAUCCUUGUUCCAUAUCCCAGCUCCCAAACCCCCCAGCUCCCAAAUCCCCUCCCCUCCAAUCCCGGCUCCCAAAUCCUCCUUUUCCAUAUCCCAGCUCCCAAAUCCCCUGUCCCAUCCCAAAUUCCUCAGCUCCCAAAUUCCCAUUCCACAUCCCAGCUCCCAAAUCCUCCUUUUCCAUUGUCCAGCUCCCAAAUCCCCAUUCCACAUCCCAGCUCCCAAAUCCUCUCUGCUCCAUCUCCCAGCUCCCAAAUCCCAGCUCCCAAAUCCUCCUUUUCCAUUGUCCAGCUCCCAAAUCCUUGUUCCAUAUCCCAGCUCCCAAAUCCCCUGUCCCAUCCCAAAUCCCCCAGCUCCCAAAUCCCCUCCCCUCCAAUCCCAGCUCCCAAAUCCUCUCUGCUCCAUCUCCCAAAUCCCGGCUCCCAAAUCCCCCUGUUCCAUCCCAAAUCCCUGCUCCCAAAUCCCCAUUCCAUCUCCCAGCUCCCAAAUCCUCCUUUUCCAUUGUCCAGCUCCCAAAUCCCUGCUCCCAAAUCCCCGUUCCACAUCCCAGCUCCCAAAUCCCCUGUCCCAUCCCAAAUCCCUCAGCUCCCAAAUCCUUGUUUCACAUCCCAGCUCCCAAAUCCCCUGUGCUCCAUCUCCCAACUCCCAAAUCCCAGCUCCCAAAUCCUCCUUUUCCAUUGUCCAGCUCCCAAAUCCCUCAGCUCCCAAAUCCCUGCUCCCAAAUCCCAGCUCCCAAAUCCUUGUUCUAUAUCCCAGCUCCCAAAUCCCCCUGUUCCAUCCCAAAUUCCCCAGCUCCCAAAUUCCCAUUCCACAUCCCAGCUCCCAAAUCCCAGCUCCCAAAUCCCCCAGCUCCCAAAUCCCAUCUCCUAAAUCCCUGCUCCCAAAUCCCAUCUCCCAAAUCCUCUCUGCUCCAUCUCCCAAAUCCCAGCUCCCAAAUCCCCCCAGCUCCCAAAUCCUCCUUUUCCAUUGUCCAGCUCCCACAUCCCAGCUCCCAAAUCCUUGUUCCAUAUCCCAGCUCCCAAAUCCCCCUGUUCGACCCCAGCUCCCAAAUCCCCCAGCUCCCAAAUCCUCCUUUUCUAUUGUCCAGCUCCCAAAUCCUCUCUGCUCCAUCUCCCUGCUCCCAAAUCCUUGUUCCAUAUCCCAACUCCCAAAUCCCAUCUCCUAAAUCCCUCAGCUCCCAAAUUCCCCCAGCUCCCAAAUCCUCUCUGCUCCAUCUCCCAAAUCCCAGCUCCCAAAUCCUCCUUUUCCAUUGUCCAGCUUCCAUAUCCCAGCUCCCAAAUCCCCUGUCCCAUCCCAAAUCCCUCAGCUCCCACAUCCUUGUUCCAUAUCCCAGCUCCCAAAUCCCCUGUCCCAUCCCAAAUCCCCCCAGCUCCCAAAUCCCCAUUCCACAUCCCAGCUCCCAAAUCCUCCUUUUCCAUUGUCCAGCUCCCACAUCCCAGCUCCCAAAUCCCCUGUCCCUUCCCAGAUCCCAGCUCCCAAAUCCCCCUGUUCCAUCCCAAAUCCCUGCUCCCAAAUCCCCCAGCUCCCAAAUCCCUCAGCUCCCAAAUUCCAGCCCCCGAAUCCCUGCUCCCAAAUCCCAUCUCCCAAAUCCCUGUUCCUCUCUGCUCUGUCUCCCAGCUCCCAAAUCCCAGCUCCCAAAUCCUCCUUUUCCAUUGUCCAGCUCCCACAUCCCAGCUCCCAAAUCCCUGCUCCCAAAUCCCCCUGUCCCAUCCCAAAUUCCCCAGCUCCCAAAUCCCCUCUGCUCCAUCUCCCAGCUCCCAAAUCCUCCUUUUCCAUUGUCCAGCUCCCAAAUCCCGGCUCCCAAAUCCCCCCAGCUCCCAAAUCCCCAUUCCACAUCCCAGCUCCCAAAUCCCCCUGUCCCAUCCCAAAUUCCCCAGCUCCCAAAUCCCCUGUCCCGUCCCAAAUCCCUCAGCUCCCAAAUCCUCUCUGCUCCAUCUCCCAGCUCCCAAAUCCCCCAGCUCCCAAAUCCCAUCUCCCAAAUCCUCUCUGCUCCAUCUCCCACAUCCCAGCUCCCAAAUCCCAGCUCCCCAAUCCUCCUUUUCCAUUGUCCAGCUCCCAAAUCCCUGCUCCCAUCCCAAAUUCCCCAGCUCCCAAAUCCCCAUUCCACAUCCCAGCUCCCAAAUCCCAUCUCCCAAAUCCCAGCUCCCAAAUCCCCAUUCCACAUCCCAUUCCCAAAUCCCCUCUGCUCCUCCAUC
ensembl:lncRNA